AGUUGCCAAUUUGCCCCCCACCUCUCCCAUCUCUUCUCUCUGCUUGCUCCCCUACCUGGCCGCAUCCAGAGCCGUCGCACGGUGUCGCCGGGCCGCAUCCUCCUCUCCCGUUCCUUACAUAGGGUGAUGGGCGCUCCGGGACUCCGCCCUCGACCCACAGGUCUGCACCCCGUUGCGACGGCGGUCAACAGGCCGAGGUCGAAAUCGGCGCCGGCAUCUUCCUCCAGCGAGAAGGGGACACGCUGGAGUUGACGAGCUGAGAUCCACAUACCACGGGUGCACGAAUGGGGUGGCCGGCUGAAGCCCUUCCAUGCCGGCGUCGAAGAUCUCCAGGACAAGCUGAUGGGUUCCACGCCGGUGUUGAAGAUCUCCAGGCCAAGCCGAUGGGAUACCUGCGCGAAACCCCGGAUCUCCACGGUAUGCCUCAGUCCUCCCAUGUCCCCGUUGGUCGCCGCUGCCGCUGCAUAAGGCUGUUGACUCACCGCCAGAGGUUGAGGCGGAUCCCAUGGUGCCUCCUCCUCCGCCGCCUGUGCAAUGAAGUUGGACGCCAUGGAUAAGCCGUGGAAUCUGAUGGGGUGGAAGCUGGAUGCCUAGGUCUUCAUGGCCGGCACCGUCGUCGUCGAGGCUGCUCAUGGCACCCUGUUCUCGGCGUCCUUGACCCCUGCGAUUCUGCUCUCUGUGUCCAACCCGGAGGUUUAUAAUAGAGGGUAAAUAUCACGUGAUUGAGGCCUUCCUCACAGGAACAUGACAAGGUCCGAAGUUGCGAUACUCCCAACUUUAUACAAUUGAUAGGUUCUUGGAAAUAAAUGGCAUGUCUGCUCCUCCUUUCUCUUUCAGUUUUGGUCUGUUUUUACGGUACUAAGGUCAGAGCGUAAGCUGUCGCAAGAGGAGGACGAGGUGCAGCCUAGAUGUUAUGGGGCGUCAGAGGAGUGAUGCUUCAGCAUGGCGACAACGUGGACUUGCAUCUAAUGAACAGUUCUACAGUUUUUUGCUGGGUCUUCUAGCACGGGGAUGUGAUUUCUCUUCCAUCUUUUGAUGAAAUCAUUAGCAGGACUUCCGAAUUUCUUGCUGUCCCAAUUAUGGUGAUUUAAUUGAUGUGUCUUCAGCUUCAGCAAUAUGCAACAGAGCAACCAGCCAUGCUUUAGGUUAAUUAAGCGUAUUUUUCUUACUACCUAGAUACGUGCCGGCCUUUCACCUGCCAUGGAGGAGUUUGCUUCUGAAGAUGAUUGAUUUUCUAUGGAAGAUGAUAUUGCAGCUGAUACGUACACUAAUGGCUCUUGGGUUGCUUCCGAGGAAGAUUUUCUUUGUAUGGAAAGCGACAUUCCAGCUGCUUAUAAUGUUACUCAUAAGUAUUAACCAAUCCAUUGGUUAUGGUACCGCGGAAGCCUGAAGAAUGGGUUUUUCCACACAAGGGAUAAUGACUGGGAGCAACAAAGUCCAGCACGUAUAUUUUUCACUGGGCUAGCUAAUAGAGCUCUUAUAUUUAUUUUUACAUCUUGCUGAUAUAGGUGCUCCUCCUCAACUUCGAAAAUGAGUUAAAGGUAAUGCAGUCUUCUGUUUUGAAAAUGGAAGCUUUUCUUCACCCCUGAUUCUGCAUCAUUGGUGCAUAUAGUGCUCAUCAUCGAAGGUGAUAUUUAUCUGAAGUACCAAGCCGUAUAUAUGAAAACAUGAAGUCUACAACAUUAACCUGCAAAUAUAAAUUGUUGUGCUUGCUGUUAUUUUGCUCUAGAUUUUUGUAGCUCCAAUGAUCCAUAUAUUAUCAUGUCUAAAUUAGGAUGACUGACGCAUCUCUCUUAAGCUUUUGCAUAACAUACAUAUUUACAGGCAGCAAUCCUAUAUAUGGUUUGUCCAAGUUGAAAAGUUCGUCUCCUUUAAGUACAAAUUUUGGAUUAAUUAUUAUAGAGUUUAUUUACUUAAUUACAGGACUCAUUAUAAGGAGAACAUAAACUUUACAUGAAACUGAUGCAUCCAUAGAAAUAUGUAUUAUGCUAACAGUUUUUGCAAAGAUCAGAGAUCUCAAGUAUUGAGUUUCUAUUAUCUCUACACAAAAUUUUCCCACAAAUUUUGCAUAACAUCAGUGAUACACAUAAUGGCAGAAGGUCCUUCUUCAUGUUAAGUUAUUAACCCUAAGAUUACUCUGUUAUGAGCAAGUAUUUCACAUCUGUCUAUUCCCCUAGGACUAAGAUUUCAGACACUGCUCUUAGCUGCCGCUGAGGUCGAGUAACAGGUUAUUAGUCAUUGACAUUUUGUUUUUGAUUUUCUUACCGGAGGUGCAACUCUCAGCCAAUUUGUUAACAUUAUUCAGUUUUUGGUUCUAAGAAAAUCUCAAGCAUUUUGCAGGGAUGGAUAUUAGUAACCACGGUGUGUAAAGUUGUAUCCUGCAACAUCCAAGGAAGUAAGCUUCCAGGUUUCUCAUGUCAAGAAUUCAAGAUUAGUGAAGAUGCAGAAUAAAUAUGGUCUUUUCCUCAUGCUGUGUGAUGCCCUCUCCAGCCAUGAGCGCGAGCCUCAGAUUCUCUUCAAAAUAGACAAGUUCGCUUUAGUUUUCAGGCUCUUUGCACAGUAAGACAAUUACCGAACCUAUGCUUGCCCUUUUUGUGCUAACGGAGAUCAUGGUCAUCCUAACCUCCGACGAAGAAGACAACGAUAAACACAACUGAUAGUUUAGAUGUAGUAGAAUCAAGUCAGCUGUGGGCCUUAACGUACUAUCAUCCAUGUCUGUUAGCAGUAGUAUAGAUUAGAGUCCAUCCCCUCUCUAAUGCAACUCCACCUAUGUAUCGGCACAAAAGCCCAUACAUGUGUUGUCAACAUGAUCCACCAUGUAAUUCAUUCCAAGUAUAUCUGCUAGGGUUGCAACCUUUUUAGUA